UGGGGAAUAUUGCACAAUGGGCGCAAGCCUGAUGCAGCCAUGCCGCGUGUAUGAAGAAGGCCUUCGGGUUGUAAAGUACUUUCAGUCGGGAGGAAGGUGGUAAGGUUAAUAACCUUGGCAAUUGACGUUACCGACAGAAGAAGCACCGGCUAACUCCGUGCCAGCAGCCGCGGUAAUACGGAGGGUGCAAGCGUUAAUCGGAAUUACUGGGCGUAAAGCGCACGCAGGCGGUUGAUUGAGUCAGAUGUGAAAUCCCCGGGCUUAACCCGGGAAUUGCAUCUGAUACUGGUCAGCUAGAGUCUUGUAGAGGGGGGUAGAAUUCCAUGUGUAGCGGUGAAAUGCGUAGAGAUGUGGAGGAAUACCGGUGGCGAAGGCGGCUCUCUGGUCUGUAACUGACGCUGAGGCUCGAAAGCGUGGGGAGCAAACAGG
rnacentral:rRNA from 1 species